rnacentral:rRNA from 1 species
AGCGAACGCUGGCGGCAUGCUUAACACAUGCAAGUCGCACGGCCGGCAACGGCAGUGGCGGACGGGUGAGUAACGCGUAGGUAUCUAUCUCCGGGUGGGGGACAACUGUGGGAAACUACAGCUAAUACCGCAUGAUGCCCGAGGGCCAAAGGCGCAAGUCGCCUGGAGAGGAGCCUGCGUACGAUUAGCUUGUUGGCGGGGUAAAGGCCCACCAAGGCGACGAUCGUUAGCUGGUCUGAGAGGAUGAUCAGCCACACUGGGACUGAGACACGGCCCA